GACGAACGCUGGCGGCGUGCUUAACACAUGCAAGUCGAACGGUAAGGCCCUUCGGGGUACACGAGUGGCGAACGGGUGAGUAACACGUGGGUGAUCUGCCCUGCACUUCGGGAUAAGCCUGGGAAACUGGGUCUAAUACCGGAUAGGACCUCGGGAUGCAUGUCCUGUGGUGGAAAGCUUUUGCGGUGUGGGAUGGGCCCGCGGCCUAUCAGCUUGUUGGUGGGGUGAUGGCCUACCAAGGCGACGACGGGUAGCCGGCCUGAGAGGGUGACCGGCCAGACUGGGACUGGGAUACGGCCCAGACUCCUACGGGAGGCAGCAGUGGGGAAUAUUGCACAAUGGGCGCAAGCCUGAUGCAGCGACGCCGCGUGAGGGAUGACGGCCUUCGGGUUGUAAACCUCUUUCAGCACCGACGAAGCGCAAGUGACGGUAGGUGCAGAAGAAGGACCGGCCAACUACGUGCCAGCCGCCGCUGUAA
rnacentral:rRNA from 1 species